rnacentral:rRNA from 1 species
CUGCGGAGGGAUCAUUACCGAGUUUACAACUCCCAAACCCAAUGUGAACCAUACCAAACUGUUGCCUCGGCGGGGUCACGCCCCGGGUGCGUCGCAGCCCCGGAACCAGGCGCCCGCCGGAGGGACCAACCAAACUCUUUUCUGUAGUCCCCUCGCGGACGUUAUUUCUUACAGCUCUGAGCAAAAAUUCAAAAUGAAUCAAAACUUUCAACAACGGAUCUCUUGGUUCUGGCAUCGAUGAAGAACGCAGCGAAAUGCGAUAAGUAAUGUGAAUUGCAGAAUUCAGUGAAUCAUCGAAUCUUUGAACGCACAUUGCGCCCGCCAGUAUUCUGGCGGGCAUGCCUGUCCGAGCGUCAUUUCAACCCUCGAACCCCUCCGGGGGGUCGGCGUUGGGGACCUCGGGAGCCCCUAAGACGGGAUCCCGGCCCCGAAAUACAGUGGCGGUCUCGCCGCAGCCUCUCCUGCGCAGUAGUUUGCACAACUCGCACCGGGAGCGCGGCGCGUCCACGUCCGUAAAACACCCAACUUCUGAAAUGUUGACCUCGGAUCAGGUAGGAAUGCCCGCUGAACUUAAGCAUAUCAAUAGGCGGGAGGAA